rnacentral:rRNA from 1 species
GACGAACGCUGGCGGCGUGCUUAACACAUGCAAGUCGAACGGAAAGGCCUGCUUUCCCUUGUGGAUUGCGGGUACUCGAGUGGCGAACGGGUGAGUAACACGUGAGUGAUCUGCCCCCAACUUGGGUAUAAGCCUGGGAAACUGGGUCUAAUUCCCGAUAGGACUGCAGGGUGGUGCCUGUGGUGGAAAACGAUUUUCUAGUGGUUGGGGAUGAGCUCGCGGCCUAUCAGCUUGUUGGUGGGGUAAUGGCCUACCAAGGCGGCGACGGGUAGCCGGCCUGAGAGGGUGGACGGCCACAUUGGGACUGAGCUACGGCCCAGACGCCUACGGGAGGCAGCAGUGGGGAAUAUUGCACAAUGGGCGGAAGCCUGAUGCAGCGACGCCGCGUGGGGGAUGACGGCCUUCGGGUUGUAAACUCCUUUCGACCGCGAGGAAGCCACCUGGUUGGAAGGGUGGUGACGGUAGUGGUAGAAGAAGCACCGGCUAACUACGUG